UGUGUCUCCUACCUGAUCCGAGGUCAACCUUUGGAAAAUUGGGGGGUUUUACGGCAAGAGUCCCUCCGGAUCCCAGUGCGAGACGUAAAGUUACUACGCAAAGGAGGCUCCGGGAGGGUCCGCCACUACCUUUGAGGGCCUACAUCAGCUGUAGGGCCCCAACACCAAGCAGAGCUUGAGGGUUGAAAUGACGCUCGAACAGGCAUGCCCGCCAGAAUGCUGGCGGGCGCAAUGUGCGUUCAAAGAUUCGAUGAUUCACUGAAUUCUGCAAUUCACAUUACUUAUCGCAUUUCGCUGCGUUCUUCAUCGAUGCCAGAACCAAGAGAUCCGUUGUUAAAAGUUUUGAUUAUUUGCUUGUACCACUCAGAAGAAACGUCGUUAAAUCAGAGUUUGGUUAUCCUCCGGCGGGCGCCGACCCGCCCGGGGGCGGGAGGCCGGGAGGGUCACGGAGACCCUACCCGCCGAAGCAACAGUUAUAGGUAUGUUCACAAAGGGUUAUAGAGCGUAAACUCAGUGAUGCUCCCUCCACAGGUUCACCCUACGGAAG
rnacentral:rRNA from 1 species